GCUAAGCCUUGCAUAUGCUCCGUUUCCCUCAACAAAACCAUAAACCAGCAAAUUGUUACACUAACCUUAACUUGCACAUCGAGACAUCCCAUUGAAAUGAUACGCUGUAGGCUUGUGAUUAGCUAUCAACAGAUUGUCACUUAAAUGUCAUCCUUCACAAGUUAUUUAAGACGAAAUAAAUUUAGCCGAGAACCAAGCCACACUGGGGGAAGUUCAGCUUGUAGAAAUUUGCUGUCCUGUUAGCUCUGAGCCACACUCAUUUUUAGUAGUGUGCAAUGACAUGGGUAAAACUUACCCAUAUUUUGUAUGAUGCGGACACAGCAAAUGUUAAUAAUUAUUAAUUAGUCAUUUGUAGCAACAGUAAAAAUAUCCACAAUUACUCUUAUUAAACCCAAACUGGAAGACCGCCUUUCAUUCCCAAGGGAACAGGCACACUACCGGAUCAUGGGAAUUAGGAAGAAAGUGCUUUCCUGACUGCAUUCCACUUUUGUUCAUUACUAAUGCAUUUUUCAGUCUCAAAAAGCAUGACAAGAAAUCCAAGUGCAAGAGGAAGGCAUGGGGGAGAGAGAGAAAAGCUGUCAGUGUACGAACUUGAACUUACUAGCACUAGCCUGGCACUCGCUAACACACAUCCAUAAACUGUACUGGUAAUAAAUAGCAUGAAUGCUCAAUUCAGAAUUUGAAGUUUUGCUUAUAGGAGGCUCUUCUGAAGCUUGUUACACUGUUUUCAGCAAUGUCCAGUCUGCUAAGGAAUGGCUUGCCCAUUUCACAUUUUUUCUCUGCAGUACUGCCAAAUUCCAGGUCCUUCUCAGCCAUGGCAUAACACGUCUUUCUAUUUCAAGGGGCAUUAUUAUUUCAGAAAAAAAACCCCAAAAUUGUGGUUAACACGUGGUGGCAGCAGUGAGUAGCAAGGAAGGAAUGAUGACAUCGAUACUGAAACUUCAAGGAGCAUAAGUAUGUGUACCUGCAGCUGUGCACAACCUGUGAGACCUGAUGGCUGCCAGCUCCCCUGCCCAGGUAGGGGCACUGAGAACCUGCCGAAGAGUUUACAAGGACAGAAGCUAAUCCAGUGCUGACUUUUGCUUUCACAGUUCUAAUAACCAUUUGGACCGGUUUUCACAGGAUAAGGAGAAGGCAGCAAUUUAUAUUGUGACCUGAGUAAAAAUAUCCACAUGCAACUGAUUGGUAUCAGGGAAACAACACUCAGAAAAUCCCCCGCUUCUGUGUUAUCCCCCUUCAUGAAUGCAAGCCAUCUCAACAACCUCUCGUGCUUAAACUGAAACAGACAGGGAUCUCCACAAUCCGGAUUUUUACUGCUGCAUUUUACCAUUUGAACUUUUUCAUGCUAUAUUAUCUUGUAACCCGGGGGGGGGGAAAGAAAAGAUCAGUGGUCAGAGGUUUGUUGGUUGAUGACAUAUUUAAGUGCAGAUGGUACAGCCAACAGGACUAUCCCAUGCUGUAUCUUGAGUACUGGAGAAAGGAGCUGGAAAAUCAAUAAUGUAAAGAUUUGCCUUUCCCCACUGAAUCAGGACCUGGCUCCAAGCUGCACUAAGUGCUCCUGAGACAGGUGAGACAUUUUCAUGUAGGAUAAACUGUCUACAUAAAUUGUUCAAAAUAGCAGGUGAGCUGAAAGUAGAUGUUUUUCUGAAUAACUCCAACUCAUGAACUUCAUGGGGAGAAGAACUUUAUCAGCUCCCAGACAUUCUUUUCACUUUGAAAAGGAGCAGUCUAAUCUGAGGACAGACAAAGGCAAUGCUUCCUGAUGUCAUUUUCUCCUUCACUGACUGCAUUGAUAAAAUUAUCUCUAAUUUCCACAACCACUGGUCUCUUUACUGCAUUGUUAUCACAGUCCUUAACUGUUUUGCAUAGUGUCAAAAUCUACCUGCUUCAUAUUUGCAAUUUGCAAAAUACUUCUAUUCACAAACAAACAACAACAACAAAAAAAAACCCAACCCCAUAGGUACACAAAUACACAAAUAAUAAAUUAGAGGGCUACUUGAAAUAAAUUAAAACAUUUACUUAUCAUAAUCAGCAUUUCUGGACAUAUCCAGAUGUCAAAAACAUUCAUUUAGAAAGUGUGACAAUGUUGUUUUUUUUUUCCUUUGCCUGGUAAAAUCAGACAAUUCUUAACUGGUUAAAAUAAAAUAACCCAAACAAACGCAUUCCAUCAGAUCACUGGUAUUCAAAGCUAACUAAAAUAGUUAUCCUCAGCUAGCACCUAUAGAAAACCCUUCUGUUCUCAUGCUGCCAGUCUCCAAAAGAACAUGUCCAUGUGCCAGGCUCCUGCUGGAAUCAAUAACAAGAACAUGAGCGAGAGCAAAACCACACAAACGAGUGUUCACACAGAACACACUCGUUGCUUUAUUAAACAUUCAUUUUCCUUAGGUUAAUAAUAAAGUCUAAGUAGAUUUAAGUGUAUGUGGAGCAUUAAGAAGUCACAGUCUAUUUUGAAGCUACAAGAAAAUCAAGAAACUUGAAACAUUCAUAUCAGCGUUGUUUGUAGCAGUAUGGCAGUAUGCAAUUCCAGAAAGCCUCAGUCUGCUUUUUUGCCUCUUUUUUUUUUUUUUUUUUUCAGGGAAAAUUAAAGUUCAGGAGAAAGUAACUCUUCCCAGUCAUAGUUAGCAGGCUGGGCUGGCUGGCUGCAGCAUUAUCUUAUGGAAGAGCAGCACAGUCUGAUUCCAGUGUCCUGUGCGCUGCUUCUCGUCCCUUUCACAGGAGGUUUUUCAAGUCCCACCCAUGUCCCACCUAUCCUAAUAUAUCACUUUGUGCUUCAUGUACAGCACACAAUAAGCCUAUAAAUUAUCUGUCAAAAUACAGAAUCGGAGCGUUGCAGAUGACAUCUCCGCUGGGCCUCUGCCAAAGGAGGUGAACACUGAAUAAAUGCAUUGCAAAACCAUCUUUCUCUUUUUCGAGUUAACUGUCUUCUGUACUCUAUGUGUACAUGUCUGCUCCGUCCGGCGUUUUGUCAGAGCGCCUCUCCGAGUGUUUAUCCGGCCUGCUGACACUCCCCGGCACGCUGCCCCUCCAGCUCUCCAUCCUUCCCCCGGGACCAGGAGCUCACAGCUGCCUUUGGUACCGGAGCGAUCCCGCCCCGGACCAGUCCGCCUGUGCCGGUAACGUCCGUCCCGGGGCUUUUAGCUCCGAGUGGCCGAGCCCCCGCCCGGCGCCACCCACGGGCCGCGCUGCUCCCGGGCCG